GACUGGAAACCACGCCCCUUUCUUUAGGGAAAGAGACUGGCCAGGUGACUAUCAACGACUCGUCCCAACGGAAUGCUUGGAAUGUAGUGUGUGCAUGAAUGCGUGGGAGAUAUCUAAACCACAAUAUUGCAUAAAUUUUAUUAUUAUGUGAGUAUUAAUAUUUUUAGCUGUACAGUUGCAGUAUAAAUGUUAUGUCUACUUAGCUAGCUGUUUGGAUAUAAGUUGUCUAUCAGUACUUCUCCAAUGAAGCAAUUCUAAAGUUGCUAUAACCUGGCUGGCUACAAGGCCACUGCAAAAAUAACAGACAGAAGUCAGUAGCAGAGAUCAGAUAUAUUUGUCUCUCUGCCAACUGGUUUAUGGAAAGUCCCUUUGCUUUGCCCUAUUGCCAGCAACAUUUGAGUUUCUAUUACAGCGGUAUCAUUGCCACAGACAGGACAAGAACUAGGUACAUCCAGGUGACAGCUAGCUCCAGACUUGGACAUAGUUUUGCAGCAGUUGACUUGUGAUUGAAAUUAAGUUUGGUAGGUGGCUGAGCUAGCUAGCUUGCUAGAGUACAAGUAGAUCUAGCUCGAUCUAGCCAAAGUAUACUAAACCGCAACACUGGUGACCACACCCUUUUCCCUGAACCACUUCCGCAAAAUUCAGUACGCAAUGAAGACGAGUCGUUGAUAGUCACCUGGCCAGUCUCUUUCCCUAAAGAAAGGGGCGUGGUUUCCAGUCUACAGCAAGUCAAGAAUGUUUACGACCAGAAGCUCAAUUCGCCUGGGAUGGCAAACUCUAGCCAACUCUUCUUAAGGCCACUAAAAGAUUGAUCAGCUUACCAGGAGGUGACAGGCAGCGUACAAAGUAUGACCACCAGUACGUACCUUGAUGUUGAGGAAAAGAGACUUUGUAGUUUACAUUGCAAACAUUGAUUAUUAUUAUAAUUUAUUGUACAUACAUGUAGGCUUAAUUAUAUAAUUAUACUAUACAUUCAUGUACCUCAUGUACCUGGAUCCAAGAACCUUGUUGUGCUGCAUGUUGUGAGGCAAGCUCAAGUGUUUGAUACAGCAAACCACUUCCUGCUGCCUAGCCUUAUUAUUGAGCCCCUCCCCACUCUUUAUUAGUUCCCAUGGAUAUCCCAGUAACGAUCGAAGAAAAGUAAGUUUUUUAGGCUAGCUAGCUAGAUCUAACUGGUAUAAAGUUAUUGUAACUAUCACUAUUAAGCUGUAGAUAGCUGCAGUAAGUGUAGCUUCCUUCUAGCCAGCCAGUGAUGGUUGAACUAUCUACUUGAGCUUCUCUGAGUCUGGAUAGAGUGCUGGAGCACCAGAGCCUGGAUGGGGGUGCUGGAGCACCCUAAGCACCACCCUGUGUACGCCCCUGCACAGACAGACAGACACACACACACAGUCAGCUUUACCGUAUCCCUCGUGCGGCUACGCCUCGAGGCAUAACAACAUGAGAGACUAUAAUAGUCAUACAGUUGUUGCCAAAGAGGAGGAUUACUUACAAGAGAUAUGAUGCAACGUUAUGCAAGAUGCUUUGUACUCUUUCUGCUAAGCUGGUUACACUACUGCCAAGGAACCUCAGUAAGUG